rnacentral:rRNA from 1 species
UACGUAGGGGGCAAGCGUUGUCCGGAUUUAUUGGGCGUAAAGAGCGUGUAGGCGGCCAUACAGGUCCGUUGUGAAAACUGGAGGCUUAACCUCCAGACGUCGAUGGAAACCGUAUGGCUAGAGUCCGGAAGAGGAGAGUGGAAUUCCUGGUGUAGCGGUGAAAUGCGCAGAUAUCAGGAAGAACACCAAUGGCGAAAGCAGCUCUCUGGGACGGUACUGACGCUGAGGCGCGAAAGCGUGGGAGCAAACAGG